rnacentral:rRNA from 1 species
UACGGAGGGUGCAAACGUUGCUCGGAAUUAUUGGGCGUAAAGCGCAUGUAGGCGGCCAAAUAAGUCGGGUGUGAAAGCCCAGGGCUUAACCCUGGAAGUGCACUCGAAACUGCUCGGCUUGAAUAUGGAAGAGGGUCGCGGAAUUCCCGGUGUAGAGGUGAAAUUCGUAGAUAUCGGGAGGAACACCAGUGGCGAAGGCGGCGACCUGGGCCAAUAUUGACGCUGAGAUGCGAAAGCGUGGGGAGCAAACAGG